AUAAACAGCAUGUGUAAGUAAGCAGUAAGACAGAAAGGCAAACACAGAAGGAAGGGAAAAUUUAUUCAUGGUGGGGAAUGAUUUCUUAAAUAGUUUGAGCUGCUAUACGCCUAUGAACUAGGUGGCUUAAAGAAUAGAAUUUUUUUUCACACUUCUAAUGACUGAUGUCUGAGAUCUGGGAACCAGUGUGGCCAAAUCCUGAGUGAAAGUGUCCUUCCUGGUAAUACCUUCACUUGGUCUUCCACAGUAUGCAGAGAAUGAGUACCUGUCGAUCACAUCAUUUGGAAUCCAUUUUCAUGACCUAAUCUGAGCAUAGAUGCCUCCCAAAGGCAUUCCUCCUAACAUUUUCCCACAGAGGGUAUGGGUUAUUAACAUAUGACUAACAUAUUAACAUUCAGACAAAAACAAUCAGUCCUGAACAGGCUAUGAAAAUUAUGCUGGUGAUUCAGCUGCUUUCUUAUUAGAAGCUAUGUCACUCACAAACACAUUGCUCCAAAGUAUUUUUGCCAUAAAUGGAGAUACAAAAUUGCCAGAAAGAUAGCUAAUGAGAAUCACCAGACAACCCCUGCUUCAUUUAAGAAAUAAAACCAGGGUCCAAACACCACCCAGACAUGAAGGAACCUGGUCAACAGUUCUCUGCACCCAAAUCCCAUAAGAGGGAGAGCUAAACCUUCAGAGGGGCAGACACGCCUGAAGGAAGCAGAGAAAGGACUGGAAGAGCUUGAAGGGGCUCAAGACUCCAUAUGAACCACAAUGCCAACCUACCAGAGCUUCCAGGGACUAAGCCACUACCCAAAGACCAUACAUGGACUGACCCUGAGCUCCAACCUCAUAGGUAGCAAUGAAUAGCCUAGUAAGGGCACCAGUGGAAGGGAAAGCCCUUGGUCCUGCCAAGACUGAACCCCACAGUGAACGUGAUUGUUGGGGGGAGGGCAGUAAUGGGGGGAGGAUGGGGAAGGGAACACCCAUAUAGUAGGGGAGGUUUAGGGGUUAGAGGGAUGUUGGCCCAGAAACCGGGAAGGGGAAUAAUAAUCGAAAUGUAAAUAAGAAAUUCUCAAGUUAAUAGAGAUGGAAAAAAUAAAAUAGAAAAAACAAAAACAAAGAAAUAAAACCAAAGAACAUGUACACAAUGUCUACUGAUAAUAUUUAGAUACUACUAGAAUACAAUGCACGUGAAAGAGAAUUACGGCAAAUAGUAACUCCAGGUUGUAAGGUCAAGAAAAGGAAAAAGCACCCUGCAUAGAAGGUGCUCUUGAUUCCCAGCCUGGAUUUGUCUGAAUGCGGAAAGUCAUCUCACAACUCAGGAACUAUAAAUGGUAGAGCCUAAACUGACCACAUCAGCACCAUAGAGACAAGGCAUUUUUUUUCUUUAAAGCAACACUGCAGCCAUCAAUGGUUUAUAGCUCUGCAAGGAGUUGGAAUGGAAUACACACCAUCGCACUGUUUCACAUGGAUACCUCUACUUACAUAGUUCCCUCCCCUAUGUAAGCUAUUACUGCAUGGUGGCAUUGUAAGACUGAAUAUAACCACACCUCAACCUGACUUCCAUGUGUGGUGUACCCUAAGAGGCUGCUUAAGUGGCUCAAUCUUGGUACCACAAAUUGUACUUAGCACUUUGGCUGUUAGAAUGUCAUCACCCUGUGCCAGCUGCUGCAGAUCAGGGCCUCUAACCUUGUUAUCACAUUCAUCAAGUCCUGAGACUCAUCAGUUAUAAUUGUGGAGACACCAAUGAUGUCCAAAUAGAAUCAAAGCCAAUGCAGCCUCUAUAAUAACCCAAUAUCUUCAGGAGAAAAGCAGAUCCUGCUUAAUUCUCCUACUCAAUUAGUAAGACACAGACACACCUUACUGUAAUGGUGGUUUAGACUCUGAUAAUGAUGGUAUAAGUUGAACAAAGACCUGCCUGGAGACAGAGCUUUUUACAAUGCUCUAUACCUUGGGCUAGCACAAAGAAGGUGGGGGAUACCAAGAGAAAUGACAAAUUGGCCUGAAGUGGAAAGUUCAGUGAUAAUGCCAAGCAAACCCCAACAGAUUGAUUGAACAAACACCUCAAUGGUCAUGCAAGCAACAGCAUGGAGUUCACCUUCUCACAAACUCACAGGAGCAAGCAUGGUGGUGGAACAAAAGCAACCCAACCCUGACAAAAUGAGGGGAUCCAGCUGCAAAAGUCUAUAUAUACAUUUGUCUUAGAUACUGAAAUGUAUGCCUGCAUCCAGCCAGUACCCAAAAAAUUAGCUGUUAAAAGCACAUCCCACCCACACCCCACAUCUCCUAAACCCUGCCCCAGAAACUGAAGAUAAUCUGACAUAGCUAGCUAUACGGCUAUCUGACAAAAUUAACUUCCAGCCAGAACUUGUCGGAAGAGAUAAUGAUGACUGCUGUACACUAAUAAAUUAGAAUACAUCAAGGACACCUAAUGAUUAUAAAUAUGCAUUCAACAACCUUUGGGGACACCAAUGAAGAAAAUAUUUGUUUUAUCAAAAUGAUAAACAAAAUUGACAGACCUUAGGCCAAAAUAACCAAAAGAAAUAGAGAAGAUACAAAUUAAUAAGAUUAUAAAUGAAAACCUUGUAACAACAUAAUGAAAGAGAGCUAGGUCAUUGAGAAAUACUUUGAAAAUCUAUAUUCCAAAAAAUCUGGAAAAUUAGAGAUGUCUAAAUAUAUAUGACUUACCAAGAAACUAUAAAACACCAAAACAGAUCUCUAAUGGGAAAACUGGGCCUAGAGUUUUGCUAGUGAAUUUCUUUAUUAUCCAAAAGGCUAUACAGGUAGUCUAUUUCCUUGAGUCAUGCAAAUGGACACCAUUCAAAGGACUACUCAUUUUAUCAAGUGGUCCAAUAUGUUGUCAGGUAUGAACUAUACAUUUAACUAUAUCAUCCUAUUGUGGUAGGAAUGCUAAAAGAACUAUGCCAAUAUUUUUGAUCUGGGAAACUAGUUAAGAUACUCAGUCAAAUGAAAAACCCUUAAGGUGACCAUGGAAUUCAAUGUGUUAAGCAGUUGCCUUUAAAUAAGCAAAUUAAGACUGAACGUGAUUGUUGGGGGGAGGGCAGCAAUGGGGGGAGGAUGGGGAGGGGAACACCCAUAAGGAAGGGGAGGAGGAGGGGUUAGGGAGAUGUUGGCCCUUAAACCGGGAAGGGGAAUAACACUCGAAAUGUAAAUAAGAAAUACUCAAGUUAAAAAAAAUAAAAUAAAAAAUAAAAAAAAUAAGCAAAUUACUCUGGAUUAUAAUACUAUAAACCAAGAGGCCUUGUGUUAGUUAACUUAGUAUUACUGUAAUAAAUAUCACAGAAAAUCAUCAUAUGCAGAAAAAAUGUUUAUAUUUGGCUUAUAGUUUCAGUGUCUGUGGGCUGUGAUUAGAUAGACCCAGUGUGAUGGACCUGCAGUAAAACCUCAGCUUGGAGAACACAUGAAAUCUGAUCAUUGGUGAGGAGUAGUCCCAAUGUCCCCUCCACAGUAUACCACUAAUGACAUCAAACCUUCUUAAUAGGCCCCAUUACUUAAAGGUUCUACUACAUCACAUGCUGGUGACCAAUGGACCUUGCUUUGGGGACACUUUAACCCCAACUGAAGCAUGUCACUACUUUCAGAAAAGGGAAACAGAAGAAGGGAUCUGAGUGGGGCUUGAAUACUAAACAGUGCUCAUGUAGUUACAGCACUCACAGAUUGAAGAUGAUGGAAGAACCACGAUUCUGAAACCAUGAGGAACUCUGAAAAAUGGUGAAACAAGCUAAUGGACUCUCCCGAAAGAGAAUGUCCAAAGAGAAUCUUGCUAACACUUGACUUUAGAGAUCCUUGAGUCAUACUUUUUUCAUAUAUUUAUUUAUUUACUUUACAUCCAACAUCUGCCCCCUCAGCUCCCAGGCCUACCCCUCACAUAGCUCCUUGCUCCCUCACCCUCCUCCUCUGAGAAGGAGGGAGUCCCCCCAGUAUUACCCCACUCUAGCACAUCAAGUCACUGCAGGACUAGGAGCUUCCUAUCACACUGAGGCCAAACAAAGCAUCCCAGUUAGGAGUACAAGAGCCACAGGCAGGCAGGCAACUUGUUCAGGGACAACCCCAACUCCAGUUGUUGGGGACACACAUCAAGACCAAUCUGCACAUCUUCUCCAUAUGUGCAAGGGACCUAGGUCUAGUCCAUGAAGCUCUUUGGUUCAUGGUUCAGUCCCCAGGAGCCCUAAGUGUCCAGGUUAGUUGACUCUGUUGGUCUUCCUAUACUGUCCCUAUGCCAGUCAAGGCCCUUAAUACUCCCCCAAAGUCUUCCAUAAGGUUCCCAGGGCCUCAUUUAAUGUUUGGUUGUCCACUCUGCAUCUUUUUCCAUGAACUGCUGGGUGGACCCUUCACCCAGCCCUCAGGGCAGUCAGGGGAGGUUAGGGACCACCUAGGAGAAAAUGGGGGACAAGAGAAGUGAAGAAGGAUGCCAAGACAAGAGUCUGAUCAAGGCAACAAAUUUUAUCUUUUCCCAAGAUUGAAUUUAUAACAUAGCAGGGGUAACAGAGGGAGAGGGGAAGCAAGAAACAUAUACGCAAGCCAAGGACACCGUGUUCUCAUGGUCCGCUGAUGUCAACAAGAUAUUGGUUUCUCAGAAAGGUCACAAAUUUAUCAUAUCAUUAGACAACCUGACCACCAGAUAUACUUCUCUAAAAGGUCACAAGUUUGUCAUAUCAUUAGGCAUCCUGACCACCAGAUUUGUAUUAGCCUUCUACAGCUGGCUGGGGAAUUUUCUCCAUCUCCUCUUGGUUGUCCACCCUGCUUCCAUCACCUUUGGGCCCCCUAGUAGGCCUUCUUUUGCUUAUAUCUUUUGGCCUUUGGGCAUUUAAUAGUUUAACCAGCUUAAUGAACCUAGUCAUACUUAACUCUAACUAUAAUAUUGACAUCAGUAGCCGUGCUGUCCUGGAAUGAGCCCCUUGGAAACUGUGUCUGUCUUAGGUUGGAGCAAUGUUUGUCACAUGGACAAGAGAAUCUCAUGGCCAGGUAUAAAGCAGCAGCUAAUAAUGUCCCUCCUGUCUUAGACCCUUUAUUCAUGAGUAUAUAGCUCUCUUACCCAUCAUUAACAGUCCACCUCAGCACACAGGGGUGACAAUUCAUUGAUGUUUCAGCAAGAUCUGCCCCUGCUCUAUAUUCUCCCGGACUGUCUCACAGUGGGUACCUUGGCAUUGUAUUCUGCCAAAGUCACUCUCUGGUGCUUCUGUAAUGAACUAUAGGCCUAUACUUCCCUAGUGAGCAUUGUUCUCUCCUCUGCAACACUAGUAAGCCUCACGUCUGGGUGCCAGUUUGCCCUGGCACACAAAGCAGACAGAAGAGGUUGGGGACCAUCUAGGAGAAAAUGGGGGACAAGAGAUGCAAAGAAGGAUGCUAAGAGUCUGAUCAAGGCAACAAAUUUUAUUUUUUCCCAAGAAUUUAUAUGAUAGCAGGGAUAACAGGGGAUGGAGGGGCAAGAAACGUGUACACAAACCAAGGACACAGUGCUCUCAUGGUCAGCUGAUGUCAACAGGAUGUUGGUUUCUCAGAAAGGUCACAAAUUUGUCAUAUCAUUAGGCAUCCUGACCACCAGAUUUGUAUUAGCCUUCUGCAGCUGGCUGGGGAUUGUCCAUCAUCCUGACCUCUUAAUGAACCCAGUCAUACUUAUCUCUAGCAUAAUAUUAACAUCAAUAAUGGAGGGUUUUGAGGGCAUAGCCUGCAACAGAGCCUUUCAGAGUACAGAUAUGCAGCCCCCCCCAUCUGCAAGCAUAACACAGUAUUAUUAAUAGUGCCUUAAUGGGAUGGUUUCUUGCCCAUAUCCCCCACUACUACAAGUCCUAGCUACACUGCCCCUAUAGACUCCCUGGGGCCUCCCCUUCCCCACCACAUCCCAGGUCUCAGGCACAUCGUAAAGAUCCCUGCCUUCCCACUGACUAUUUGCUUUCUUUCUCCCAUGCUCUCCCUACACCCGAUACCCACACCCAACUACCCUCCAUCCCCCCUCUUUCACCCAGUUCCCUCCUUCCAUCAACCUCCAAAUCUACUUUAUUUCCCCUUCUGAGAAAGACUCACCCAUCCUCCCUUGUGCCCUUCCUGUUAUUUGGCUUCUAUGUAGCUGUGGAUUAUAUCAUGGUUAUCCUUUAGUUUAUGGCUAAUAUCCAAUUAUAAGGGAAUAUAUAUACCAUGCAUAUCCUUUGGGGAUUGGGUUACCUCACUCAGGAUGAUAUUCUCAAGUUCCAUUCUUUUGCCUGUAAAAUUCAUGAUCUCCUUGUUUUUAAUAACUGAAUAGUAUUCCAUUGUGUGAAUGAACCAUAUUUUCUGUAUCCAUUCUUCAGUUGAGGAGCAUCUGGGUUGUUUCCAGUUUCUGGCUAUUGCAAAUAAAACUGCUGUGAACAUAGUUGAGCAAGUGUUUUUGUGGGAUUGUGAAGCAUCUUUUUGGUAUAUGCCCAGGAGUGGUACAGCUUGGUGUUGAGGUAGAACUAUCCCCAGUUCUCUGAGAAACCACCAAAUUGAUUUCCAAAGUAGUUAUACAAGUUUGCACUCCCACCAGCAAUGAAGGAGUGUUCACUGUAUUCCACAUCCUUGCCAGCAUGUGCUAUCCCUUGAGUUAUUAGCCAUUCUCAUAGGUGUAGGGUAGAAUCUCAGAGUCAUUUAGCAAUAAGUUUUUUCUUUAUUAUGUUUCAAUAAAAUGGACAUUUUAAUUGGGCCUCUUAAAACUUUUACAUUUUAUCUAUGUAUUGAUAUGGUCAUACUUAAGUCCAAUUUGCUGUUUUUUAUUUUCUUGCCUCUUUGUUUUCUUUUUUCCUUGCAUAUUUUAAGUUAAACAGGGACACACUACUUUUGAUUUCUCCCUUAUUAUUUCUUCAUUAUGUGUUUACAAAAGGGUACUCAGGUUUGCAAUACACAUUCAUUGUUUACCAUAGUCUGCAAAUAAAAAGAAUAUAUAACAACUUGGUUCUCUACUUUCACCAUGUAGGUUCUGGGUUAAGGCUCAGGACUUCAGGCAGAGAGGCAAGUGGUUUUUUCUACUGAGACUUCUUGGCCUCCUUCCCAUUUCCUUUCUCUCACUGCUUUUCUUAUCAUAGUAAUUUAUCUCUCAAUAACUCACAUGGUUGAAGUAAUAAUAGCAUUUUAUUGUUGUUAUUGUUAAGUCCCUCAGAUAACUCAGGAGCUGAGCUGGAGAAAUGGCUUAGAGUGCUUGACACAAAAUAAUGAGGAUCUGAGUGCAAAGAAAAUGUGCAUUAAGGUAAAAGGUUGGCAUGCCACACUGCAGAGAGGGUGAAGAUAUGGGCCAUGCCAAGGCUUUCUGGCCUGCCACCAGCAGGGCCCUAGAUUCAGUGAGAGACCCUCACUGAGAGAACUAAUAGGACAUCUAGCAUAUUCCUUUGACUUCUGUGUACCCAUAGUUACACACACACACACAUACAUGCACAUAUACAACAUACAUACAACAUACAUACAGGUAUACAAGCACACAGGCACACAUGCCACACAAAAACAGGGACUAUCUCAAACUUACUUGUAGAUUUUGGCUGAAAAUCAGUGCCUUAAAACCACUGCUUCACAGAUUCAUUUCUCCUUUUCAACUACCUUGGGGAAUCCAUUUCUUACUAGAGCACAUGCCUCACAGAUAGAUUUCCACUGUGUGUUUUAACAAUUGUGGCUAAGGUUUCUAGAAUGUAUCUUUGUUUCACCAAGUCUUUAAAGUCCCCUAUUUUCAUAUGUAUUCUAACAUUGUAACAGGCCCCCAGACCUUAGCACAGAUGCUGUCAUAUGAUAGAAGUGCCAUUCAGUGCAUAAAAGUCCACACAUGGACUACACUACAUACAUGAAAACAAAGGCCUAAUUCACCAAAAUCCAUAAUGCUAGGAAAACCCCUUGUUUUUUGGCUUCUGUAGUUCUACUUGUGGCUAAUUGCUUUUGCUAAUUGAAGCAUGUCAACUAAGGAUGUGACUUUUGUGCUUAAAAGCUCACCCUGAGUCCUGAACACCGAGUGCAGUUAGAUACCAAGCCAGCUAAUAAAGACUUUUUAUUGGUUUCAAUCCAGAUAAUCAUCUCUGCUGGAUAUCCCAGAACAACAUGGAUGUCAUCUAUUUUUAAAAUCAUUUCUAAGUUGAUAUGCUAACAUUGGCUUUUCUUGCAGCCGUGGAGUUCCACCUUACCCUACCUCCAGAAAUGCUCUGACAAAGGCAGACUUUUCUAAGGUUUGGGUAAUCUUUGGUUACUGAAGCAAGUUUAAGGGAAUAUUUGGGUAUCAGGCUGCCUUACUGAGUGAAAUCUUCCUUCAAAGUCUACUUUUGCAGAUAGUGAGGCAUUUGGGAAACCUCUAUCUAAGUUCUGAUCCAAUGAGACCUAGGUGAAGCAUUAGGAUACAAAUGGAGUUUUCAGCUCAGUUUCCAUUCCAUGCCCUUCUCUAGGGAACAAUAUUCAUACCAUGUUUCUCUGAUAUUCUGGUUGAUUGUGCUUUCAACGUAUGGCUUGCCCUGUUGGAAGCAGGUGGGGAAUGCUGCUGUUCAGAUCCUGAAAUGUGAACAUUACAAUUUUCUACCAAAAGAUGGUGGAAUUUGCCAGACACUUGCUCUCUAGCUUCUCAGUCAGAUUCUGUCUGAUCUGGACUAUGGGGUAUGUGGGAUGAGUUCUCCAAAUAUCAUGGGGAAUGUUCAGGAGUCUUCAUUCUCUUACCAUCUUAGAAAUAUAGGAUGUUCUAGCCUGAGGUUUUACUGAUGCUGUUUCCCUUCUUUUCUUUUUCCUGUUUGGUUUUCAAAAUCUAUUUCAUCUUUGAGCUUAACAAUAGAGUAAGUCCUUCAGUCUUUGGCUCAUGUUACUAGUAAGAAUGAUCACACAUGCUUUUUCUAUGAAUAAGGAAUUCAAAAAUAAUUGACUGAGGCAACCAAAGCCAAAAACUUGGGGCAAAUAAUGAAAUUGUAUUAAUUAAAAUAUGUUUUAUAUAAAAAAGAGUAUUACAAUUAAUGUUGAUAUAGAAUUUGUCUUGCUAAUAUUUGAGCAAUGUACUUGAAAGUGAUUGAAAUAGUAAUGGAUUCUUUACUUUCUUAGCUUCUUCCUCCUCAAUGAAAGACUUCACAAUUUAAAUAUGGUGGUGAGUUUGAAUGGAGUGACUCAACAUGUCUCUAAGCCUAUGACCACUCUUACUUUAGUUCCCACUGUAUCUUCCAAUCUUGCAGAGGUUUGUUUUGUUUUCUUUUUUAGUGGAAAGAGAUUGUAUUGGACAAGGAAACCCAAUAGGAAGAGAGGAUCCUUAAAGCAGGCAAAAGAGUAAGAGAAAGCUCCUACUACCAGACACAUCCUGGACAGCCAGAACCCAAAGACUAGGAAGCCCAGAAACAAGGAUGAAAAAAUUAUUCCUAAUAAUAUUCUGCUAUAUACAUAGAUUAAUGCCUAUCCCAAUUGUCACCAAAGAAGCUUCAUGCAGAACUGAUGGAAACAGAUACAGGGACCCACAGCCAAGAAUUAGGCAGAGCUCUGGAACCAUGCAGCAUUCUUAUCCAUCAGGGAAUGCAAAUCAAAACUACUCUGACAUUUCAUCUCACACCAGUUACACUGGCUAGAAACAAGAAUACAAACAGCAACAAAUUCUGCUGUGGGUGUAGGGAAAGGAGAACACGUUGUACCUGCCGGUGGGAGUGCCAACUGGUGCAGCCACCAAGGUAAUUUGUGUGGAAAUUCCACAAAAAGGAAAAAUAGCUUUACUAUAUCAUUCCAAUUGAACCACCCUGGGAAACCUUCCCAAACUACUCUGUCUCCUCCUACACAGCUAUUUGCUCACUCAUCAUUCCUGCUUUAUUCACAAUAGCCAAGAACUGCAAAGAAUUUAGAUUCCCAUCAGCUGAGGAAUGCAUAAUGAGAUACGCUAUUGUACAGAAUGGAAUAUUACUAAUCUGUGAAGCAAACUGAAACUAUCGAAUUCAUGUGGAAAUGGAUAGAGGUGGAAUCAUCAUUCUGAAUGAGGUAGCACAGACCCAGAAAGAUAAUCAUUUCAUUUUUCUCUCUGUGGACGUGAGCCUUCACAUCCAUAUGCGUGCUCCAUUUGGAAUACUCACAGAGGUUUUGAAAUUACUGUGGCACCAUGGAGUGGGAUUCUCAAGAGAGGGGAGAUGGCAGAAAAAGUUAAAAGAGAAUUACAGAACAGUAAGAUUUAAAUUGGGGGGGAUGUGAUAGAAGAAGGAGAUGUGGGAGGCAGUAAAUCUCUUCAAAAUAGAAAUCGACUACUGCAGAAGAUUCUAAAAAUACACACACAAUAAUCACACACAUGCUCGUAGGCACACACUCAUACAAACACAUAUGUGCACGUGCACACAGACAUAUGGACUGGGACUUUCAAGAGAGGGAAGAUAAGAUUUAAAAGAGAAAACCCAAUGGCUAGAGACAAGCGCAGGAACCUAAACAACAGAAACCAAGACUACUUGGUGUCAUCAGAGACCAGUUCUCCCACCAAAAAUAUACUGGAUAUCCAAACACACAAGAAAAGCACGAUUUAGAUUUAAAAUCACAUUUUUCAUAAUGAUGGUGAACUUUAAGAAAGAUAUAAAGAACUACCUUAAAGAAAUGCAGGAAAAAACAAGUAAACAAGUAGAAUCCUUUAGAGAGGAAACACAAAAAUCCCUGAAAGAAUUAUAGGAAAACAAAAUCAAACUGGUGAAGGAAUUGAAAAUUGAAAUAGAAACAAUGAAGAAAGCACAAAGGGAGACAACCCUGGAUAUAGAAAACCAAAGGAAGAGACAAGGAGCCAUAGAUACAAGGAUCACGAGCAGAAUACAAGAGAAAGAAGAGAGAAUCUCAGAAGCAGAAGAUACUAUAGAAAACAUUGACACAACUAUCAAAGAUAAUGUAAAAAGGAAAAAGCUCCUAGCCCAAAACAUACAGGGAAUCAAGGACACAAUGAGAAGAUUAAACCUAAGGAUAAUAGGUAUAGAAGAGAGUGAAGACUCCCAGCUCAAAGGACCAGUAAAUAUCUUCAACAAAAUCAUAGAAGAAAACUUCCCUAACCUAAAGAAAGAGAUGCCUAUAAACAUAUAAGAACUCCAAAUAGAUUGGACCAGAAGAGAAAUUCCACCCAUCACAUAAUAGUCAAAACACCAAAUGUACAAAACAAAGAAAGAAUAUUAAAAGCAGUAAGGGAAAAAGGUCAAGUGACACAUAAAGGCAGAGCUAUAAGAAUUACACCAGACUUCUCACAAGAGACUAUGAAAGCCAGACGAUCCUGGACAGAUGUCAUACAGACCCAAGUUAUUGUACCAGCAAAACUUUCAAUUAACAUAGAGGGAGAAACCAAGAUAUUCCAUGUCAAAACCAAAUUUAUACAAUAACUUUCUACAAAUCCAGCCCUACAAAGGAUAAUAGAUGGAAAACUCCAACACAAGGAGAGAAACUACACCAUACAGAAAGCAAGAAUAUAAUUUCCUUGCAAUAAAACCAAAAGAGAGACAAACAUAAUUCCACCUCUAACAAUGAAAAUAACAGGAAGUGACAAUAUUAUACCUUAAUAUGUCUCAACAUCAAUGGAUUCAAUUCACCAAUAAAAAGAUUUAAACUAAUAUAUUGGAUAUGUAAAGAGGACCCAGAAUCAUGCUGUAUUCAGGAAACACACCUCAGAGAAAAAAACAGACACUACCUCAGAGUAAAUGUCUAGAAAACAACCUUACAAGCAAAUGGCCCGAAGAAAAAAAGCUGGAGUUGCCAUUCUAAUAUCAAAUAAAAUGGAUUUUAAACCAAGAGUCAUUAAGGACCUCCACAUCAAACCAGAUACACUCAAACUAAGAGAAGAAAAAGUGAGGAGGCAUCUUGAACACAUGGGCACUGGAGAAAAUUUCCUGAAAAAAACACCAGUGGCUUAUGCUCUAAGAUCAAGAAUCGAAAAAUGGGAUCUAAUAAAAUUGCAAAGUUUCUGUAAAGCAAAGGACACUAUUGUUAGGACAAAGCGACAACCAACAGAUUGAGAAAAGAUCUUUACCAAUCCUACAUCUGAUAGAGGGCUAAUAUCCAAAAUAUACAAAAAACUCAAGAAGUUAGACCACAGGGAAACAAAUAACCCUAUUAAACAAUGGGGUUCAGAGCUAAACAAAGAAUUCACAGCUGAGGAAUGCCGAAUGGCUGAGAAACACCUAAAGAGAUGUUCAACAUCUUUAGUCAUAAGGAAAUGCAAAUCAAAACAACCCUGAGAUUUCACCUCACACCAGUCAGAAUGGCUAUGAUCACAAACUCAGGUGACAGCAAAUGCUGGCGAGGAUGUGGAGAAAGAGGAACACUUCUCCAUUGUUGGUGGGAUUGAAGACUGGUACAACCAUUCUGGAAAUCAGUCUGGAGGUUCCUCAGAAAAUUGGACAUUGAACUACCUGAGGAUCCAGCUAUACCUCUCUUGGGCAUAUACCCAAAAUAUGCCCCAACAUAUAAAAAAGACACGUGCUCCACUAUGUUCAUAGCAGCCUUAUUUAUUAUAAUAGCCAGAAGCUGGAAAGAACCCAGAUGCCCUUCAACAGAGAAAUGGAUACAGAAAAUAUGGUACAUCUAUACAAUGGAAUACUACUCAGCUAUCAAAAACAAUGCCUUUCUGAAAUUCAUAGGCAAAUGAAUGGAACUGGAAAAUAUCAUCGUGAGUGAGGUAACCCAAUCACAGAAAAACACACAUGGUAUGCACUCAUUGAUAAGUGGCUAUUAGCCAAAAUGCUUGAAUUACCCUAGAUGCACAGAACACAUAAAACUCAAGAAUGAUGACAAAAAUGUGAAUGCUUCACUCCUUCUUUAAAAGGGGAGCAAGAAUACCCUUGGGAGGGAAUAUGGAGGCAAAGUUUAGAACAGAGGCAGAAAGAGCACCCAUUCAGAGCCUGCCCCACAUGUGGCCCAUACAUAUAUAGCCACCCAAUUAGAUAAGAUGGAUGAAGUAAAGAAGUGAAGGCCAACAGGAACCGGAUGUAGAUCUCUCCUGAGAGACACAGCAAGAAUACAGCAAAUACAUAGGUGAAUGCCAGCAGCAAACCACUGAACUGAGAACGGGACCCCCGUUGAAGGAAUCUUAGAAAGGACUGGAAGAGCUUGAAGGGGCUUGAGACCCCAUAUGAACAACAAUGCCAACCAACCACAGCUUCCAGGACAAAGCCACUACCUAAAGACUAUACAUGGACUGACCCUGGACUCUGACCUCAUAGGUAGCAAUGAAUAUCCUAGUAAGAUCACCAGUGGAAGGGGAAGCCCUUGGUCCUUCCAAGACUGAACCCCCAGUGAACGGGAUUGUGGGGGGGAGGAUGGUAAUGGGGGGAGGAUGGGGAGAGGAACACCCAUAUAACAGGGGAUGGGGAGGGGUUAGGGGGAUGUUGGCCCAGAAAGUGGGAAGGCAAAUAACAAUCAAAAUGUAAAUAAGAAAUAGUCAAGUUAAUAAAGAUGGAAAAAAUGAAAAAAAGACAAGGAAGGACACUUCAUAUUCAUCAAAGGAAAAAUCCACCAAGAUGAACUCUCAAUCCUAAAAAUGUAUGCUCCAAAUGCAAGGGCACCUACAUUCAUAAAAGAAACCUUACUAAAGCUCAAAACACACAUUGCACCUCACAAAAUAAUAGUAGGAGAUUUCAACACCCCACUCUCAUCAAUGGAAAGAUCAUGGAAACAGAAAUUAAACAGAGAUGUAGAGAAACUAACAGAAGUUAUGAAACAAAUGGAUUUAACAGAUAGUUAUAGAACAUUCCAUCCUAAAACAAAAGGAUGUACUUUCUUCUCACCACCUCAUGGUACCUUCUCCAAAAUUGACCAUACAAUCGGUCACAAAACAGGCCUUAACACAUACAGGAAGAUAGAAAUAAUCUCAUGCAUCCUAUCAGAUCACCAUGCACUAAGACUGGUCUCCAAUAACAACAAUAAUGACAGAAAGUCCACAUAUACAUGGAAGUUGAACAAUGCUCUACUCAAUGAAAACUUGGACAAGGAAUAAAUAAAGAAAGCAAUUGAAGAUUUCUUAGAAUUUAGUGAAAAUGAAGAUGCAACAUUCCCAAACUUAUGAAACACAAUGAAAGUGGUACUAAGAGUAAAACUCAUUAUCUCUGAGUGCCUGCAAAAAGAAACAGGAGAGAGCAUAUGUCAGCAGCUUGACAGCACACCUAAACUCUAGAACAGAAAGAAAUAAAUAAAGGCAAGAUGAGCAGAGACAGGAAAUAAUCAACUUCAGAGCUGAAAUCAACCAAGUAGAAAGGGAAAGGACUAUACAAAGAAUCAAUAAAACCAGGGGCUGGUUCUUUGAGAAAAUCAACAAGAUAGAUAAACCUUUAGCCAGAAUAAACAGAGGUCACAGAGACUAUAUCCAAAUUAACAAAAUCAAAAAUGAAAAUGAAGACAUAAAAACAGAAUCUGAAGAAAUUGAAAAAAAUCAUCAGAUCCUACUACAAAAGCCUAUAUUCAACAAAACUGGAAAGUUUGGGGGAAAUGGACAAUUUUCUAGAUACCAGGUAACAAAGUUAAAUCAGGAACAAAUAAGACAUCUAAACAACCCCAUAACUCCUAAAGAAAUAGAAGCAGUUAAAAGUCUCCCAACGAAAAAUAGCCCAGGUCCAGACAGGUUCAGUGCAGAAUUCUAUCAGACCUUCAUAGAAGACCUAAUACCAAUACUGUCCAAACUAUUCCACAACAUUCAAGCAGACAGAACAUUACCAAAUUCCUUCUAUGAAGCCACAAUUACUCUUAUACCAAAACCACACAAAGACCCAACAAAGAAAGAGAACUUCAGACCAAUUUCCCUUAUGAAUAUUGAUGCAAAAACACGCAAUAAAAUUCUUGCAAACCGAAUCCAAGAACACAUCAAAACAAUCACCCAUCAUGAUCAAGUAGGCUUCAUCCCAGGGAUACACAGAUGGUUAAAUAUACAAAAAUCCAUCAAUGUAAUCCACUGGAUAAACAAACUCAAAGAUAAGAACCACAUGAUCGUUUCAUUACAUACUGAGAAACCAUUUGACAAAAUUCAACAACACUUCAUGAUAAAAGUCCUGGAAAAAUCAGGAAUUCAAGGCCCAUAUCUAAACAUAGUAAAAGCAAUAUACAGCAAACCAGUAGCUAACAUCAAACUUAAUAGAGACAAACUUGAAGCAAUCCGACUAAAAUCAGGGGCUAGACAAGGCUGCCCACUCUCUCCCUACUUAUUCAGUGUAGUACUUGAAGUCCUAGCCAGAGCAAUCAGACAGUGAAACGAGGUCAAAGGGAUACAAAUUGGAAAGGAAGAAACCAAAAUAUCACUACUUGCAGAUGAUAUGAUACUGUAUUAAGUGACCCCAAAAGUUCCACCAGAGAACUAUUUAAUGUGAUAAACAACUUCAGCAAUGUGUCUGGGUGUAAAAUUAACUCAAAUAAAUCAGUGGCCUUCCCCUACUCAAAGGAUAAACAGGCUGAGAAAGAAAUUAGGGAAAUUACACCUGUUAUAAUAGCCCCAAAUAAUAUAAAAUAUCUUGGUGUGACUUUAACCAAGCAAGUGGAAGAUCUGUAUGACAAGAACUUCAUGUCUCUGAAGAAAGAAAUUGAGGAAGAUCUCAGAAGAUGGAAAGAUCUUCCAUGCUCAUGGAUUAGCAGGAUUAAUAUGGCAAAGAUGGCCAUUUUGCCAAAAGCAAUCUAUAGUUUCAAUGCAAUCCCCAUCAAAACUCCUACUCAAUUCUUUAUAGAGAUAGAAAGAGCAAUUUGCAAAUUCAUUUGGUAUAACAAAAAACCAAGAAUAGCAAAAACUAUACUCAAUGAUAAAGAAUUUCUGGGGGAAUCACCAGCCCUGACUUUAAGUAGUAUUACAGAACAAUAGUCAUAAAAAAUGUUUGGUUUUGGUACAGAGACAGGCAGAAAGAUCAGUGGAACAGAAUUGAAGACCCAGAAAUGAACCCACACACAUAUGGUCAUUUGAUCUUUGACAAAGGAGCUAAAACCAUCCAAUGGAAGAAAGACAUCACUUUCUACAAAUGGUGCUGGUUCAACUAGAGGUCAGCAUGUAGAAGAAUGCAGAUCGAUCCAUGAUUAUCACCCUGUACAAAGCUUACGUCCAAGUAGAUCAAGGACCUCCACAUCAAACCAGAUACACUCAAACUAAUAGAAGAAAAAGUGGGGAAGCAUCUCGAACACAUGGGCACUGGAGAAAAUUUCCUGAAUAAAACACCAAUUGCUCAUGCACUAAGAUCAAGAAUCGACAAAUGGGACCUCAUAAAACUGCAAAGCUUCUGUAAGGCAAAAGACACUGUCAUUAGGAAAAAACAGCAACCAUCAGAUUGAAGAAGGAUCAUAACACCAGUCAGAAUGGCUAAGAUAAAAACCUCAGGUGACAGCAGAUGCUGGUGAGGAUGUGGAGAAAGAGGAACACUCCUCCAUUGUUCAUGGGAUUGCAAACUGGUACAACCACUCUGGAAAUCAGUCUGGAUGUUCCUCAGAAAAUUGGACAUUGCACUACCUGAGGAUCCAGCUAUACCUCUCUUGGGCAUAUACCCAAAAGAUGCUCCAACAUACAACAAAGACACAUGCUCCACUAUGUUCAUAGCAACCUUAUUUAUAAUAGCCAGAAGCUGGAAAGAACCCAUAUGCCCUUCAACAGAGGAAUGGAUUCAAAAAAUGUAGUGCAUCUACACAAUGGAAUACCUCUCAGAUAUCAAAAACAAUGACUUCAUGAAAUUCAUAGGCAAAUAGAAUGAACUGGAAAAUAUCAUCCUGAGUGAGGUUACUCAAUCACAGAAAAGCACACUUGGUAUGCAUUCAUUCAUAAAUGUAUAUUAGCCAAAAAGCUUGAAUUACCCAAGAUGCAAUCCACAGACCAGAGGAAGCUCAAGAAUAAGGAUGACCAAUAUGUGGAUGCUCCCACUCCUUCUUAAAAGGGGAAAAAAUAACCAUAGAAGGGGAUAUGGAAGCCAUGUUUAGAGCAGUGACUCAAGGAAUGGCCAUUCAGAGCCUCACCCACAUGUGGACCAUAUAUAUAUACAUAUAUAUACAUAUACACAUAUAUAUACAUAUAUACAUAUACAUAUAUAUAUACAGCCGCCAUGUGGAAUAUAUAUAUAUAUAUAUAUAUAUAUAUAUAUAUAUAUAUAUAUAUAUAUCUCCGCCAAAACUAGAUAAGAUUGAUGAAGCUAAAAAAUCCAUGCUGAAAAGGACUGGAUAUAGAUUUCUCCUGAGAGACACAUCCCAGCAAAUCAUUGAACGGAGAACAGGACCCUGUUUAGGGGAAUUAGAGGAAGGAUUGAAAGAGCUGAAGGGGCUUGUAACCCCCUAAGAACAACAAUGCCAACCAACUAGAGCUUCGAGGGAUUAAACCACUACCGAAAGACUAUACAUGGAGUGACCCAGGGCCAACUGCAUAUGUAGCAGAGAAUAGCCUUGUUGGGGCACCAGUAGAAGGGGAAGCCCUUGGUCCUGUCGAGGUUGGAUCCCCCAGUGCAGGGGAAUAUUGAGGGGAGGCAAUAAGGGGUAUGUAUACUGGUAAUACCCAUAUGGUGGAGGGGGAGGGGAGGGAAUGGGGGCUUGUGGGCAAGAAACCAGGAAGGGGAAUAACAUUUGAAAUGUAAGUAAAGAAAUAUAUCUAAUAAAAAAUUUUAAAAAGAAAAGGAAAAAAAGAAAAAUAUUUGAAGUAGAGAAAAAUAAAAGAGAAUUACAUGUAAAGACAGGUUAGAUUAGGUAGAAAAGAAAAAUAGAGGAGGGGAAGGAAAGUAAAUAGUAUCAGGUUUUCAUAAUGUCAUACAUAAACUAUUAAUGUAGAAGCUUCCUAAAAAUAUACUGAUAUACAUAUUUUAAAAAAGAUGGAGUCACCCUCUACUGCGGCAACAAUGCUUGCUUAUGCUAGACACCAUGGGAUAACUAAUGCAGAGCCCAUACCCAGGAAUUACUGAGCCUGUUUUGGACCUGUUGGCCAGUGAGGCCAUCCCUGGCCAUUACAAGACACUAUCAGUGUUCUUGGAUACCUUCCAGAACUUAUUGGUAAGACCCUGCUAUGUGCCUGAGUAGAACAUGAAGAAAUCAAGCUGAUACUGACCCACUGAUACUGGCUUUAUCCAUACUUGUUAGAAUUCAUACUGCUGGAAAGUUCUAGCCACACUACCACAAGUGAAAAUGAACCAUAAAUACUCAGGUAUGAACUCUGUGAGAAACAAUAAUGACGGGCCAGAUAACACAUAACCACUGUGAUGGUUUGUAUAUGCUUGGCCCAGGAUGGCACUAUUAGAGAGUGUGGCCUUGUUGGAAGAGGUGUGUCAUUGUGGGUGAAUGCGGUCUUCCACUAGCAGCCUUCAGAUGAAGAUGUAGAACUCUCAGCUCCUUCUAUACAAUGCCUGCUUAGAUGCUGCCAUAUUUUGACCUUGAUGAUAAUGGACUGAACCUUUGAACCUGUAAGACAAUUCCAAUUAAAUGUUGUCCUUUAUAAGACUUACCUUGGUCAUGAUGUCUAUUCACAGCAGUAAAACCCUAACUAAGACAACCACUGAUGUAGUAUUGGGGCAGGAAACUAAAACUAUACUAGUCUUAUACCCUAGGUGAGAAUCUAAUACUAUUUAUUCUGCUAAAUGGAUUCAAUAGUAAACCAGCUCCUAAUGAUUUGCCAUUGUACCCAUAGAUCAAGACAUCGAAAAACCCUUAUGGAAGCUCAUAUAUACAGUAAAUGAUAAUCAAUACAGAUACCCACAACUGGCCAAGGUGCAGAGAAUUAGACAUCAAUAAAUGUCCAGCGCUAAAUAAAAUAUGCAUAGAUCUUCUUCCAAAGGCACUGGAAUGGCUGUGGAAGAGGGGGUCAAAGGACUGUAAGAACCAGAGUUGGUGGAAAUACAAGAAAACAGUGUAUUUUGCAUACUGCAGGAAAGCUACAUGUAUAAGCUCACAGUGAUUAUGACAGCAUAUUUAAGGCCUGUCAAGCUCUAGCCAGACCAAAUCCCAACAGGACAGGGGAGAUGACAACAAGAAUUAAGGAACAUGGGUCUACAAAAGUAGAGAAAUACGGUUGUAGUCAAAGGGAAGGAGACAGAUUGUGUCUUGAGUGAGACUAAAAUUAGCAUCUGCACAGACUCCCAGACAAUGUGUUGUGUGACUUUAGUUUAACGUGCAUUUGUGGAGUCAGGUAUCAGAAAAAAUCACGAGUUUGGUUCAAGCCUAGUUAGGAAACUGUUUCCUAUGCCCCAUCAGCUUCCAAGUUCCCCACUCCUAUGUUAGAACUCUCCAGCUUUCUCUGCCAAGAAAGUAAGUGUUUCUGGCAUGGAAAACAGCUCUUUGUUUCGUUUCACUUUCGUCUUCAUGGAAAUGCAGGAGAUUCUGGAAAGCAACUAGAUCUCUGCUCCUCCAUGAUUGGCCAUCACACACUGAGAGGGGAGAAACAUGAGCCAGAAAAAUGUGUAAGUCCUAUAUAACCGAGUAGAACCUGCUGCCUUCCAUAGAGGAAGCAGGUGUGGGUUUCAUGUGAAGAGGCUGGAGCACAGUGAGGGGGGAUUUCCUGUAGCUAAACUACAGCAAACAAAUCCACUGGACAUAGGAAUUUCUGGUAAGUGGGCAGGAGUAUUCAGAUCUAACUUCUAACCUGCACUAUUUGUUUUCUCUGAAGAUCUUAUAGGUAAGAAAGUGUUCAGGAACACACCCAGACAAUGGAGAUCCUCAACAUGGAAAUAGAGGGACUUUGGUGCGAGGUGGGCAGAACUGGCUGUGAAUAGGUGUAGCCUAUCUUUCAAGUUGAGGUAGACCUAAGGGAGAUGACAUAGAUGUUGUUUUUGGUAAUAACUUAUUCAAUUGAUUUGCUUGGCUCUUACUCCUCUCCCUAAGAUGGUUGCAAUGCAUGUGUCAGGUAACAGAAAAUGUCUUCAGUGUGUAUGAAGUUUAUUGUGUCCUAGGUUCAUCUUGUUUCCCAGUUAAUUAUUUAACUACUUCAACUAAUUCCUAAUAUUCUUGAGGACCCUGGCCUAUAGAGAAGAGGUUCAUCUUGAUGCUGCUUCUGCCGGAGGUGGCUGUGAAAAUCUGUGCCCCAAGAGUUGUGUAGGCAAAUUAAAAAUGAUUUAAGUGAAAUACAGAUAGUUGGACUCAGUGAAAUCUUUUAAUAACAAAAAUAAAACAGAAAAAAACAGACUUAUAUGAUCAUUAAAUAUUUGGCAUUGAUUAAACACUGAUUUCAAUUAUUAUUCAAUUUUGUUUGCAUUUAGUUUGAAAAACUAGAAGUAUAUUGAUUAAGUUCCCACACAUUUGAAGGGACACACUGAAGGAAGUGUGCACACCAUGAGAAGACAUUUUAUUUCAUAUAAAAUACUCUAGUAUGGUUAGAUGUAACACAGUUCUUGUGUUUUUAUAGUUGUUGAUGCUGGCUUUGGGACACAUGCAGAUUUUCAUGUUAUUUUCCCUUAUUUUGCUUAGUUUUAAUUUCUCCAUAAUUAACUGAGAGCUAGUAGAAAUUGUUUCUAGUUUCCUUUUUAUUCCCAUUAUAAACACCAUGAACAAAGCAUUUUGAAAAGAAAACCAUUUGGGGGUUUACAUAUUGUGAUCACAGGCAACCAUCACAAAGCAAAAUCAAGGUAGAAAUUCAAGCAGGGGCAGAAAUAAGAACAGUGAGAGAAUGUUGCUUAAUAACUUGCUCCCUUGAUUUGAUCAUGCUUUCUUAAAUUACCUAGGACAGCCUACCCAGGGGGGAUACUAACCCACAUUGGGCUGAGACCUUCCACAUUAAUCCUUAAUCAAAAAAAAAAAAUCCCAUAGCCAUGCCUCCAAUUCAAAGUGAUGGAUGUAAUUCUUCAAAUGAGGUUUUCUCACCUGAAAGGACUCUCUAGUUUGUAUUUGUUGAUAAAAAAAAAAAGAAAGGAAGGAAUGAAAGAAGAAAGCAAGGAAGGACGGACGGACGGACAGAAGGAAGGAAGACAGAAAGAAAGAAAAGAGAUAGAGAGAGGGAGGGAGGAAGGAAAGAAGGAAGGAAGGAAGAAAGAAAGAAAGAAAGAAAGAAAGAAAGAAAGAAAGAAAGAAAGAAAGAAAGAAAGAAAGAAAGGAAGGAAGGAAGGAAGAAAGAAGAGACAGACAAACAGAGAUUACUCAAUAAGAAGGUAACUAAGGCUACAGCAUGGGGGAAAAACACAUUGCUAAGCGCAAAGGAUCUUCAAUCUCUUGCAACUUACUGUCCCUUCCUUCUUUCAGUGACUUUAUAAAUCACCGACAUGGGUCAGCUCUUCUCUGAUACAUCUAAGAAUGAAGACAAUGAAGGAGAUUUGGUGUCCAGCUUCAAAGCAUAUUUUAAAAAAUUAAUACAGAAACAAAAAUCAUUUCUCCAGAAACUAUCCAUUUAAUAGAGUUACACCUGAGCAAAGGAGACUUUCUUGGGGCAAAUGAUUUAAUUAGUGAUGCAUUAAAAAAUAUUGAUAACAUCCCAAUAAAUAUUGCUGUGACAGGAGAGUCAGGAGCAGGAAAAUCCAGCUUCAUCAAUGCACUGAUAGGGAUUAGACCUGAAGAGGAAGGUGCAGCUGCAGUUGGGGUAGUAGAGACAACUAUGAAGAGAACUCCUUACCAACAUCCCAAAAUUAAAACUUUAACCUUAUGGGACCUGCCUGGUAUUGGAACUCAGAAAUUCCCACCAAAGACUUAUUUGGAGAAAGUGAAAUUCAAAGAAUAUGAUUUCUUCAUUAUUGCUUCUGCCACACGUUUUACAAAACUUGAAUUAGACCUCGCCAUAGCAAUCAGAAUUUUGAAAAAGAAUUACUACUUUGUGAGAACCAAAGUAGACAUUGAUUUAAACCACGCACUUUUGACAGAGAAAAGACCCUGAAGCAGAUCCGAAGCUAUUCUGUGAAUACCUUUAGUAACAAUUACAUGGAUGUACCACAGAUUUUCUUGAUCUCUAACUAUGAUUUAUCUGACUAUGAUUUUCCAAUCCUGGUGGACACCCUGAAUAAGAAUCUCCCUGCUCAAAAACGCUACAAUUUUAUGCUUUCCCUGCCAAAAAUUACAGAGGCAGCAAUUGACAGAAAGCACAAGGCUUCGCAACAGUUUAUCUGGCUAGAAGCCUUCAAGGUUGGAAUUUUGGCAACAUUUCCUGUAGUGGGCAUCCUCAGGGAUAAUGAUGUUGAGAAACUAACGGAGAGUUUAAACCACUAUCGACAACUCUUUGGAGUGGACGAUGAAUCUCUGGAGUUAAUGGCUAGGGAUUUCCAAGUGCCUGUUGGACAACUAAAAGAAAAAAUUAAGUCUCCUCAUUUGUUGAAGACUAACAGAGAGGAAACAUUAGGAAAAAAGCUUUUAAAAUAUUUAGAGAAAUUUGCAUCAGCUAAUGGUGGGCUCCUUGCUACAGGUCUUUACUUCAGGAAAACUUUUUAUUUACAGCUUCAUUUCCUUGACACAGUGGCUGAAGAUGCCAAGGUUCUCCUUCAAUGGACAUACUCAAAACAGUAGUUCAAACUCAACUUAUCCACAGCUUCUGACUCUGACAACAUCAAGUGGUCAAUAUCAGGAAGUCACUAGGGAAAUUCUCCGUCUGAUUGCUUUUCUUUUCAGCCAAUCCACUACCACCAUGGAAAAGCUGACGAUAAA